ACCCCCCGGUCCCCCCCCCGAACACGGUAGUUAAGCUUCUCUGCGCCAAUGGUAGUUGGGGGCUUCCCCCUGCGAGAGUAGGUCGCUGCCGGGC
rnacentral:rRNA from 1 species